UCUCUACCGGUUUCAGCAGAAUCUAUACUAAAAUUGAAACAAUAUAGAGAAGAUUAGCAUGGUCCUGGUCCAAGGAUGGCACAAAUUCAUAUCUUGUACCAAUUACU